rnacentral:rRNA from 1 species
GACGGAGGGGGCAAGCGUUGUCCGGACUCACUGGGCGUAAAGGGUGCGCAGGCGGCCGUCUGCGUCGGCGCUGAAAGCGCCCGGCUUAACCGGGCGAGGCGCGCCGAUACGAGGCGGCUCGAGGCACGGCGAGGAUGGGGGAACUCCUGGUGUAGUGGUGAAAUGCGUAGAGAUCAGGGAGAACACCCGUGGCGCAAGCGCCCAUCUGGCCGUGAACUGACGCUGAGGCACGAGAGCGUGGGGAGCGAACAGG